rnacentral:rRNA from 1 species
GACGAACGCUGGCGGCGUGCUUAACACAUGCCAGUCGAACGGAAAGGCCCUGCUUGCCGGGUACUCGAGUGGCGAACGGGUGAGUAACACGUGGGUGAUCUGCCCUGCACUUCGGGAUAAGCCUGGGAAACUGGGUCUAAUACCGGAUAGGAGCCAUUUUUAGUGUGAUGGUUGGAAAGUUUUUUCGGUGUAGGAUGAGCUCGCGGCCUAUCAGCUUGUUGGUGGGGUAAUGGCCUACCAAGGCGGCGACGGGUAGCCGGCCUGAGAGGGUGGACGGCCACAUUGGGACUGAGAUACGGCCCAGACGCCUACGGGAGGAAGCAGUGGGGAAGAUUGCACAAUGGGCGCAAGCCUGAUGCAGCGACGCCGCGUGGGGGAUGACGGCCUUCGGGUUGUAAACUCCUUUCGCUAGGGACGAAGCUUUUUGUGACGGUACCUAGAUAAGAAGCACCGGCUAACUACGUG